rnacentral:rRNA from 1 species
GAUUAACGCUGGCGGCGUGCCUAACACAUGCAAGUCGAACGGGGGUAGCAAUACCCCAGUGGCAGACGGGUGAGUAACACGUGACCAACCUACCCUAGAGUGGGGGAUAACUAGUCGAAAGAUUAGCUAAUACCGCAUGCGGAAGUGGCCGGCAUCGGCCACCAUCCAAAGGAGCAAUCCGCUCAAGGACGGGGUCGCGUCCGAUUAGCUAGUUGGUGGGGUAACGGCCUACCAAGGCUCCGAUCGGUAGCUGGUUUGAGAGAGCGACCAGCCACAC